rnacentral:ncRNA from 2 species
GAAAAUGAAUAUUUACCAUAUCGUAUAAUUACAGGAAUAAGGUCUGUACGUCUCUACCAAGCUACCGUAAAAUGGCUUGACUACGAUGGAUUAUCUAUUAUAA